rnacentral:rRNA from 1 species
UACGAAGGGGGCUAGCGUUGCUCGGAAUCACUGGGCGUAAAGGGUGCGUAGGCGGUGAGGUAAGUUGGAUGUGAAAUCCCGGAGCUUAACUCCGGAACUGCAUUCAAUACUGCCUUGCUAGAGUACUGGAGAGGAGAUUGGAAUUCACGGUGUAGCAGUGAAAUGCGUAGAUAUCGUGAGGAAGACCAGUGGCGAAGGCGAAUCUCUGGACAGUGACUGACGCUGAGGCACGAAGGCUAGGGGAGCAAACGGG